UUACUUGAUCUUGAUUGUCUAAAUGGAUAACUGUGGAAAAGCUAGAGCUAAUACAUGCACUAAAGCUUUGUCCUUACGGAAAAGCGCAUUUAUUAGAACAAAACCACGCGGCUUCGGCUGCUUCUUGUUGACUCAGAAUAACUUAGCUGACCGCAUGGCCUUGUGCCGGCGGCGUGUCUUUCAAGCGUCCACUUUAUCAACUUGACGGGAGCAUAAUCGACUCCCGUGGUGGUGACGGAUAACGGAGGAUCAGGGUUCGACUCCGGAGAAGGGGCCUGAGAAAUGGGCCACUACGUCUAAGGAUGGCAGCAGGCGCGCAAAUUACCCACUCUCGGCUCGAGGAGGUAGUGACGAGAAAUAACGAGACUGUUCUCUUUGAGGCCGGUCCAUCGGAAUGGGUACAAUUUAAACCCUUUAACGAGUAUCAAGCAGGGGCAAGUCUGGUGCCAGCAGCCGCGGUAAUUCCAGCUCUGCAAAUACAUAGAAUUAUUGCUGCGGUUAGAAAGCUCAUAGUUGGAUUCGUAUCGAUACCUUGGAACCCUUCGGGUGUCUCUAGGUGUUAUCGAUUUAUCGUAAUGUUCGGUUUUGAGCCUUAACAGGAUUCUUAACAGGCAUUGCAAGUUUACUUUGAACAAAUCAGAGUGCUUCAAACAGGCGUUUUCGCUUGAAUGAUCGUGCAUGGAAUAAUAGAAAAUGAUUUCGGUUCAGUUUUAUUGGUUUUACGGACUGAGAUAAUGGUUAACAGAGACAAACGGGGGCAUUUGUAUGGUCCCGUGAGAGGUGAAAUUCUUGGACCGUGGCCAGACAAACUACAGCGAAAGCAUUUGCCAAGAAUGUUUUUAUUAAUCAAGAACGAAAGUCAGAGGUUCGAAGGCGAUCAGAUACCGCCCUAGUUCGACCGUAAACGAUGCCAACUAGCGAUCCGCCGAUGGAAAUUAUAUUGCCUUGGUGGGGAGCUUCCCGGAAACGAAAGUCUUCCGGUUCCGGGGGAAGUAUGGUUGCAAAGCUGAAACUUAAAGGAAUUGACGGAAGGGCACCACCAGGAGUGGAGCCUGCGGCUUAAUUUGACUCAACACGGGGAAACUCACCCGGCCCGGACACUGUGAGGAUUGACAGAUUGAUAGCUUUUUCAUGAUUCAGUGGAUGGUGGUGCAUGGCCGUUCUUAGUUCGUGGAGUGAUUUGUCUGGUUUAUUCCGAUAACGAGCGAGACUCUAACCUACUAAAUAGUUGGUACAUACUCUUAGUGUAUACAGCUUCUUAGAGGGAUUUGCGGCGUUCAGCCGAAAGAAAUUGAGCAAUAACAGGUCUGUGAUGCCCUUAGAUGUCCGGGGCUGCACGCGCGCUACACUGGCAAAAUCAACGUGCUUGUCCUACCCUGAAAGGGGCGGGUAAACCAUUGAAAUAUUUGCCGUGAUUGGGAUCGGAAAUUGCAAUUAUUUUCCGUGAACGAGGAAUUCCAAGUAAGUGCGAGUCAUCAGCUCGCGUUGAUUACGUCCCUGCCCUUUGUACACACCGCCCGUCGCUGCCCGGGACUGAGCCAUUUCGAGAAAUUUGGGGACCGUUGAUUUAAUUUUUCUAAAUUACUUUGAUGGAAACCA
rnacentral:rRNA from 1 species